rnacentral:rRNA from 1 species
UCUGGUGAUUAGGCGGCUUGGUCCCACCCGUUCCCAUCCCGAACACGGUCGUGAAACGAGCCAGCAGCGAAAAUACUUGGCGGGAGACCGCCUGGGAAGAUAGCCCAUCGCCAGAU